UGCGGGGAAAAGAAACCAACAGGGAUUGCCUCAGUAACGGCGAGUGAAGCGGCAAAAGCUCAAAUUUGAAAUCUAGCACCUUCGGUGUUUGAGUUGUAAUUUGAAGAUGGUAACCUUGGGUUUGGCUCUUGUCUAUGUUCCUUGGAACAGGACGUCAUAGAGGGUGAGAAUCCCGUCUGAUGAGAUGCCCAUUCCUAUGUAAGGUGCUAUCGAAGAGUCGAGUUGUUUGGGAAUGCAGCUCUAAGUGGGUGGUAAAUUCCAUCUAAAGCUAAAUAUUGGCGAGAGACCGAUAGCGAACAAGUACAGUGAUGGAAAGAUGAAAAGAACUUUGAAAAGAGAGUGAAAAAGUACGUGAAAUUGUUGAAAGGGAAGGGCAUUAGAUCAGACUUGGUGUUUUACGAUUAUCUUCUCUUCUUGAGUUGUGCACUCGUAUUUCACUGGGCCAGCAUCGAUUCGGAUGGCAAGAUAAUGGCAGUUGAAUGUGGCUUCACUUCGGUGGAGUGUUAUAGCUUCUGCUGAUAUUGCCUGUCUGGAUCGAGGGCUGCGUCUUUUGACUAGGAUGCUGGCGUAAUGAUCUAAUGCCGCCCGUCUGAA
rnacentral:rRNA from 1 species